UACGUAGGGAGCAAGCGUUGUCCGGAAUCAUUGGGCGUAAAGCGCGCGUAGGUGGCUUCGUAAGUCCGUUGUGAAAGUCAAAGGCUCAACCUUUGAAUGCCGAUGGAUACUGCAGAGCUAGAGUACGGAAGAGGCGAGUGGAAUUCCUGGUGUAGCGGUGGAAUGCGCAGAUAUCAGGAGGAACACCAAUAGCGAAGGCAGCUCGCUGGGACGUUACUGACACUAAGGCGCGAAAGCGUGGGGAGCGAACAGG
rnacentral:rRNA from 1 species